UACGAGGGGGGCAAGCGUUGUUCGGAAUUAUUGGGCGUAAAGGGCGCGUAGGCGGUGCGGUAAGUCACCUGUGAAACCUCUAGGCUCAACCUCGAGCCUGCAUUCGAUACUGGGCGGCUAGAGUCUGGUAGGGGGAUCUGGAAUUCCUGGUGUAGCGGUGGAAUGCGUAGAUAUCGGAAGGAACAUCAGUGGCGAAGGCGACUUCCUGGACCAAUACUGACGCUCAGGUGCGAAAGCGUGGGGAGCAAACGGG
rnacentral:rRNA from 1 species